AAGAUCAAAUAAUCAUACAUCAACAAUAAUUAUAAAUUAGAUGAUCACUGCCGCAAUCUUUUCAACCCAUUUUCAGGUCUCUACUGCUUGCCAAAUAAUUACACGUCUGCCUCCACAGCUAAUGCUUCUGUCAUUCCAAACUCAACAAAGGUUCAUGUUAUACCCAAUCAGCAAGGAGACAGUGUGAGAAAUGAGAAAUAUCCAUUAAAAUCGUGUGAUCUGCUGCAGCAUUUGAGAACUGUUUGAUUGUGAAACCAACUGCUCUGAACUUGGUGAAGG
rnacentral:misc_RNA from 1 species